rnacentral:rRNA from 1 species
UCAUAUGCUUGUCUCAAAGAUUAAGCCAUGCAUGCCUAAGUCUUGGCUCUUGUACAGUGAAACCACGAAUGGCUCAUUAAAUCAGCUAUUGUUCAUUAGAUCUUACCCGUUACAUGGAUAACUGUAGUAAUUCUAGAGCUAAUACAUGCCUCGAUGCCGUGACCCGUGAGGGAAUCGGUGCACUUAUUAGAACAAGACCAACCGGGUUGCCGGUCUCACCUGGAAUCGGUGGCCCUGUUGUGUCGUGUUGACUCUGGAUAAUUACGACAGAUCGCAGUCGGCCUUGUUGUCGGCGACGGUUCUUUUAAAUGUCUGCCCUAUCAACUUACGAUGGUAGGCGACCUGCCUACCAUGGUGAUAACGGGUAACGGGGAAUCAGGGUUCGAUUCCGGAGAGGGAGCCUGAGAAACGGCUACCACAUCCAAGGAAGGCAGCAGGCGCGCAAAUUACCCACUCCCGGCACGGGGAGGUAGUGACGAAAAAUAACGAUGCGGGACUCGUACGAGGCUCCGUAAUCGGAAUGAGUACACUCUAAAUCCUUUAACGAGGACCAAUUGGAGGGCAAGUCUGGUGCCAGCAGCCGCGGUAACUCCAGCUCCAAUAGCGUAUAUUAAAGUUGCUGCAGUUAAAAAGCUCGUAGUUGGAUCUUGACGGCACUGCUGCGAGUUUAGGCGUCAUCGUUUUGCCAACGGCCUAUGGUGUUUUCAAUAGCAUCCGGGUGCGGGGCACGGUGUGCCUGGCUUGUCGGCGGUGUAGUCUUUCAGCCGUGUCUGUUGCCCACGUGCUUAUGUGCGGGGGUGCAGGUGCCGACGGUUGGUGUUUGUCUGGUUCGUCCCAGCCUUCUGUUGGUACGCCUCGGGAUGCUCUUGACUGAGCCGUCCCGGGUGCGGACGGCAUGUUUACUUUGAACAAAUUUGAGUGCUCAAAGCAGGCCCACGUGCCUGAAAUUUUCUUGCAUGGAAUAAUGGAAUAGGACUUCGGUUCUAUUUUGUUGGUUUUCGGUUCCGAAGUAAUGGUUAAGAGAGACAGACGGGGGCAUUUGUAUGGCGGUGUUAGAGGUGAAAUUCAUGGAUCGCCGCCAGACAGCCUGAAGCGAAAGCAUUUGCCAGGAAUGUUUUCAUUGACAAAGAGCGAAAGUCAGAGGUUCGAAGACGAUCAGAUACCGUCCUAGUUCUGACCAUAAACGAUGCCAACUGACGAUCCGCGGAGGUUGUACAUAUCGUCCCCGCGGGCAGUCUCCCGGAAACCCGUAAGUCUUUGGGUUCCGGGGAAAGUAUGGUUGCAAAGCUGAAACUUAAAGGAAUUGACGGAAGGGCACCACCAGGAGUGGAGCCUGCGGCUUAAUUUGACUCAACACGGGAAAACUCACCCGGCCCGGACACUGUGAGGAUUGACAGAUUGAUAGCUCUUUCUUGAUCCAGUGGUUGGUGGUGCAUGGCCGUUCUUAGUUGGUGGAGCGAUUUGUCUGGUUAAUUCCGAUAACGAACGAGACUCUGGCCUGCUAAAUAGUACACCGGUAAAUCGUGACCGUUUGAAGGGUUUUGCUGGGUGGCGCUCUCUCUUUGCUGGGAGUUGUGUUGCCUGGUAGGCCUCUUUGGCGGUUACUGUGCAGGCGAAACUUCUUAGAGGGACAAGUUGCUUCCUAAGCAACACGAAAUUGAGCAAUAACAGGUCUGUGAUGCCCUUAGAUGUCCGGGGCCGCACGCGCGCUACAAUGACAGUGCCAGUGUGCAUGUCGACCUAGCCUGAAAGGGUUGGGCAAACCGAUUCAUUACUGUCGUGACAGGGAUCGGGGUCUGCAAUUAUCCCCCGUGAACGAGGAAUUCCCAGUAAGUGCAAGUCAUAAGCUUGUGCUGAUUACGUCCCUGCCCUUUGUACACACCGCCCGUCGCUACUACCGAUUGAAUGGUUUGGCAAGGCUCUCGGACUGGUGCCAUUGUAGUGGUCGGCUGCUUUCAUGGUGGCUUGACUGCUCGACCGGUGCUGGGAAGAGGACCAAACUUGAUCAUUUAGAGGAAGUAAAA